ensembl:lncRNA
AUGACACACAAAAGGAUGAAAUACGGGCGAACCCUGAACAACUCGGGUUUGAAGUGCAUGGGUCCACUUACAUGUGGAUGGUUUUCAGUGGUAAAUACUACAGUUCCCUGGCUUAGGAAUACAGUAUCAUUUUUUGCUGCUGGUGCCUCAGGUUUGUUUACUAGGGCAAUUUUUAUUCUCAGACGAACACUCACUCAUUCACCGGAAGUCUGUUCCAUGCCAGGAACCAUGGGAAAUGGUAGCAAAAAGAACUCACAAACCAGAGGAAAAGAAGUGUUCAAACAAGCAAAGCAGAGCUGCCCACAGGCUCAUGCUGUGGGCUGUGUGAGGAGGCGGCGAGGCGUCCGCUGGAAAGGACUGUGCUCCGAAUACCCUCUCCUUCAGACAGUUUGUAAUAACAAGUGGAACAUGGGCUGAGUUCUAAACGAGGAAAAGGAGUUCUAAACUACCAACUCAAAUGGAGAGGAGAAGGGUGCCCAGCAGAGUACUGGGUGGCCAGCAACGCGCAGGAGAAAGCCAGGCAGGUCAGUAAAUAUCGUCACCAGAUAACUCAAUGGGGCAGGUGACCACUUCAUACCUUUCUUAGAGGAGCUGCCUUAAAUAUUUAAGGGUCUUCUUUUUAAUGCAUGGGGUGGUUAUCAGAGUGCAUGGCACAGCUCAAGUUUUCCCACAAGCAGCCUGAAAAUGAAACAACCCCUUACCUGUAUGGGGAGGAGCGAAGAUAAGGCUGUGAAGAGAGUGGUCCCUGAUGAGAUGUAAAAACCACAGGCCAGCUGUGACUCAAGUGUGCUUCCCAGGUUCCCUGAAAAACAAGAGAGGGCCUUUUGUUACCUUGGAAUAGCCAGUCCUGGAAGAGUCCCAGUAAAGACCCACAGACCCUGCCCAAGGCUCCUUGGUCUCAGAGCACCUGACCAGCGUCACCCGGCCAAGGGGUUGGUGAGAAGUGGGUGAGAAUCCUGGUGUUUAUAACUCAGCGGGAGGAUAACGGUAAGCCAGGCGCUAACCCAGUUGUGUCUUGGUUUCCUCCCCUGGCAGGGCUAUCUCACAGAAUGAUCCAGAAGGUCUUCAAUGCCUGGGCACCAUGCCACGCCUGGAGUCACAUGAAUGACCAUGUCACGGUCUCCUGCCCUCAGGGAGCUGACAGGCCACAGAGACAGGGAAGUAAAGGCACAGUAAUCAGGACCUUGAUGCAGCUGAGAAGAGCUGAAGUGAGGAAAACAGGAGAUGAUGCAGAGCCUUUGCAGAGGCAGCUGCUGAUCCCAGAGAGGAUAAAGGGCACUCCCCAGAGCAGGUGACGGCUAAGCUGAGGUCUGAUAAGCAAGAGUUGACCAGGCUGCAGCAUACCAGGCAGAGCCAACAGCAAACGAGGUGCCCAGGGAGCCAGAGAACCUAGUGAGUUCACAAGCACAAGGAGUACUUCAGAGCCCAAGAGGGAGAUGGAGGUCAUUUUAGCAGAGUUUGGACUUGCUCUUAAGGCCAAUGGGCAGCCCAUGAAGGGUCUCCUGUAGGAGAGUGGCACGGUCCUGAAAGCUCUCUGUAACAUCAGAGAGAAGGAACUGGAAGGAGGCAAGGAAUGCCCCUCAGACACCCCAAAUGCCACGUCCCUGGUGGCUGCGGAGCUGACCAGGA